GAUCAAGUGAAUUAAGGGCAAUUGGUGGAUGCCUUGGCAUGCACAGGCGAAGAAGGACGUGAUACGCUGCGAUAAGCUAAGGGGAGCUGCGAAUAAGCUUUGAUCCUUAGAUGUCCGAAUGGGGAAACCCACCUUAAAUGCUUGGGAAAUCUGGCGCCGCUGGCGCAGGCAUUAGGAUAUAGGCAGUCGGCAAUCGGGUUUAUUCCCGACUGGCGAGGGCCUAUUGGCGAUUGGCUGCGUCGCAAGCGACGCGAGGUUUCCAAGCAUUAUCAUAAGGUAUCUACACCUGAAUACAUAGGGUGUAAGAGGCGAACGCAGGGAACUGAAACAUCUAAGUACCUGCAGGAAAGGACAUCAACCGAGACUCCGCAAGUAGUGGCGAGCGAACGCGGACCAGGCCAGUGGCGAUAAUUGAUAAAGCAGAACGACUUGGAAAGGUCGGCCAUAGUGGGUGAUAGCCCCGUAUGCGGUGACGCAAUUAUCGUCCUAGAGUAAGGCGGGACACGUGAAAUCCUGUCUGAACAUGGGGAGACCACUCUCCAAGCCUAAGUACUCGUGCAUGACCGAUAGCGAACAAGUACCGUGAGGGAAAGGUGAAAAGC
rnacentral:rRNA from 1 species